rnacentral:rRNA from 1 species
GCGGAGCGGCCGAUGACUGAUUAGCUAGUUGGUAAGGUAAAGGCUUACCAAGGCGACGAUCAGUAGCUGGUCUGAGAGGACGACCAGCCACACUGGGACUGAGACACGGCCCAGACUCCUACGGGAGGCAGCAGUGGGGAAUUUUGGACAAUGGGCGCAAGCCUGAUCCAGCUAUUCCGCGUGUGGGAAGACGGCCUUCGGGUUGUAAACCACUUUUGUAGAGAACGAAAAUUCUAUUGAUAAUACCGAUAGAUGAUGACGGUACUCUAAGAAUAAGCACCGGCUAACUACGUGCCAGCAGCCGCGGUAAUACGUAGGGUGCGAGCGUUAAUCGGAAUUACUGGGCGUAAAGGGUGUGCAGGCGGUUUUGCAAGAUGGAUGUGAAAGCCCCGGGCUUAACCUGGGAAAGCCAUACAUGACUGCAAGACUAGAGUGCGUCAGAGGGGGGUGGAAUUCCAAGUGUAGCAGUGAAAUGCGUAGAUAUUUGGAAGAACACCGAUGGCGAAGGCAGCCCCCUGGGACGCAACUGACGCUCAUACACGAAAGCGUGGGGAGCAAACAGGAUUAGAU